CGAACGGGCACCUUCGGGUGUCAGUGGCAGACGGGUGAGUAACACGUGGGAACGUGCCUUCGGUUCGGAAUAACUCAGGGAAACUUGAGCUAAUACCGGAUACGCCCUUAUGGGAAGGUUUACCGCCGAAGGAUCGGCCCGCGUCUGAUUAGCUAGUUGGUGGGGUAACGGCCUACCAAGGCGACGAUCAGUAGCUGGUCUGAGAGGAUGAUCAGCCACACUGGGACUGAGACACGGCCCAG
rnacentral:rRNA from 1 species